UGGGAAGUCCUACCCCACCCGCCGUAUUCAUCGGACAUUGCUCCAUCCCAUUACCAAUAUUACCAUUUGUUCCGAUCGAUGAUUCGUGGCCUGGCUGCGGUUGAGUAGCACUUCCAUUCUUAUGAAGAUGCCAAAAAAUGGGUCGAUUCGGAUAACCUCAAAAGAUGAGUCGUUCUUUCGACAUGGUAUUCGUAUGCUGCCAGAAAGAUGGGAGAAAGUAGUAGCUAGCAAUGGACAAUACUUUCAAUGACCUGUUCUUUGCUAAUUUUUUUAAAUAAAGCAUUCAUUUUCACGAAAAAUAGCGAGAACUUAUUCAAGUCCUCAAUAUCAGAAUCAGAAACGUGUUCAUUAAUAUCUUUCGACAAAGAUAUGAGGAAAUCAUACUGCAAGAUUUAGAAUAUGUUUUGUAUUUGCUUGUAAGCAUGUGAGGAAUACUUCUAAAAAAUCUGACUCCCAUCGAAAAACAUUUGAUGUAGUAGACAUAACGGAAAUGGAAACACAAGUGGACUUAGUGUGCAACAAGUAUAUAUUCGAAGAGUUAUACGGAAAGUUGGAUUACAAAAUACCUAAAGCAAGAUGAAGAAUAUUUCCAAAGAUAAAUGUGGCACUGUGUACGGAUAUAUGCCGUAGCAUAAAACAACAAGACAAGAUUCAAACGAGGAAAAUGAAGGGCUUGAAGACAACAUUAUCGGAGAAAAAAAAUAAGAGAUGACUCGUCGAUUUUAGUAGCAGCGAUGCAAAGAAAUUCAAAACAUAUUCCCAAUCAAU